AAACUUUUCAGCUAGAGUAUGAUAGAGGAAAGCAGAAUUUCUAGUGUAGAGGUGAAAUUCGUAGAUAUUAGAAAGAAUACCAAUUGCGAAGGCAGCUUUCUGGAUCAUUACUGACACUGAGGAACGAAAGCAUGGGUAGCGAAGAGGAUUAGAUACCCUCGUAGUCCAUGCCGUAAACGAUGUGUGUUAGACGUUGGAAAUUUAUUUUCAGUGUCGCAGCGAAAGCGGUAAACACACCGCCUGGGGAGUACGACCGCAAGGUUAAAACUCAAAUGAAUUGACGGGGACCCGCACAAGUAGUGGAGCAUGUGGUUUAAUUCGAAGAUACGCGCAGAACCUUACCAACACUUGACAUGUUCGUCGCGACUUUAAGAGAUUAAAGUUUUCGGUUCGGCCGGACGAAACACAGGUGCUGCAUGGCUGUCGUCAGCUCGUGUCGUGAGAUGUUGGGUUAAGUCCCGCAACGAGCGCAACCCUCACUUUUAGUUGCCAUCAUUAAGUUGGGCACUCUGAAAGAACUGCCAGUGAUAAGCUGGAGGAAGGUGGGGAUGACGUCAAGUCCUCAUGGCCCUUACGUGUUGGGCUACACACGUGCUACAAUGGUAUCUACAACAGGAAGCAAGACGGCGACGUUAAGCAAAUCCUUAAAAGAUACCUCAGUUCGGAUUGCACUCUGCAACUCGAGUGCAUGAAGCUGGAAUUACUAGUAAUCGUGGAUCAGCGUGCCACGGUGAAUGCGUUCCCGGGUCUUGUACACACCGCCCGUCACACCAUGGGAGUUGGUUCUACCUUAAGGCAAGGUUUCAAACCCUUGACCACGGUAUAGUCAGCGACUGGGGUGAAGUCGUAACAAGGUAACCGUA
rnacentral:rRNA from 1 species